CCUACGGGUGGCAGCAGUGAGGAAUAUUGGUCAAUGGACGAGAGUCUGAACCAGCCAAGUCGCGUGAAGGAUGACUGCCCUAUGGGUUGUAAACUUCUUUUGUCAAGGAAUAAAACGCGGCACGUGUGCCUUUUUGCAUGUACUUUAUGAAUAAGGAUCGGCUAACUCCGUGCCAGCAGCCGCGGUAAUACGGAGGAUCCGAGCGUUAUCCGGAUUUAUUGGGUUUAAAGGGAGCGGAGAUGGGUUGUUAAGUCAGUUGUGAAAUGUGGCGGCUCAACCGUACAAUUGCAAUUGAUACUGGCAGGCUUGAGUACAGUGGAGGUAGGCGGAAUGCGUGGUGUAGCGGUGAAAUGCUUAGAUAUCACGAAGAACCCCGAUUGCGAAGGCAGCUUACUAAAGUGUGACUGACAUUGAUGCUCGAAAGUGUGGGUAUCAAACAGGAUUAGAUACCCCUGUAGUC
rnacentral:rRNA from 1 species